GCGGUGGAGCAUGUGGUUUAAUUCGACGCAACGCGCAGAACCUUACCAGCCCUUGACAUGUCCAGGACCGGUCGCAGAGACGUGACCUUCUCUUCGGAGCCUGGAACACAGGUGCUGCAUGGCUGUCGUCAGCUCGUGUCGUGAGAUGUUGGGUUAAGUCCCGCAACGAGCGCAACCCCCGUCCUUAGUUGCUACCAUUUAGUUGAGCACUCUAAGGAGACUGCCGGUGAUAAGCCGCGAGGAAGGUGGGGAUGACGUCAAGUCCUCAUGGCCCUUACGGGCUGGGCUACACACGUGCUACAAUGGCGGUGACAGUGGGAUGCGAAGACGCAAGUCCUAGCAAAUCUCAAAAAGCCGUCUCAGUUCGGAUUGGGCUCUGCAACUCGAGCCCAUGAAGUUGGAAUCGCUAGUAAUCGUGGAUCAGCACGCCACGGUGAAUACGUUCCCGGGCCUUGUACACACCGCCCGUCACACCAUGGGAGUUGGCUUUACCUGAAGACGGUGCGCUAACCAGCAAUGGAGGCAGCCGGCCACGGUAGGGUCAGCGACUGGGGUGAAGUCGU
rnacentral:rRNA from 1 species